CCUACGGGGGGCAGCAGUGGGGAAUAUUGCACAAUGGGCGCAAGCCUGAUGCAGCAACGCCGCGUGAGCGAAGAAGGUCUUCGGAUCGUAAAGCUCUGUCCUUGAGGAAGAAGGAAGUGACGGUACUCAAGGAGGAAGCCCCGGCUAACUACGUGCCAGCAGCCGCGGUAAUACGUAUGGGGCAAGCGUUAUCCGGAUUUACUGGGUGUAAAGGGAGCGUAGGCGGCAGGGCAAGCCUGAUGUGAAAGCCCGGGGCUCAACCCCGGGACUGCAUUGGGACCUGCCCCGCUCGAGUGCCGGAGGGG
rnacentral:rRNA from 1 species